UUUAUGGAGAGUUUGAUCCUGGCUCAGGAUGAACGCUGGCGGCGUGCGUAACGCAUGUAAGUCGAACGGUGAACUGCGCUAUUCGUAGUGCGGGGAACAGUGGCGAACUGGUGAGUAACACGUAAGUGACCUGCCCCAAAGAGGGGAAUAACCUUUCGAAAGGGAGGCUAAUACCCCGUGUGGUCGCGCAUUCGUUUGUGCGAUUAAAGGCUCCGGCGCUUUGGGAGGGGCUUGCGGCCCAUCAGCUAGUUGGUAGGGUAACGGCCUACCAAGGCGAAGACGGGUAGCUGGUCUGAGAGGACGAUCAGCCACAAUGGCACUGAAACACGGGCCAUACUCCUACGGGAGGCAGCAGCGAGGAAUAUUGCACAAUCGACGCAAGUCGGAUGCAGCAACGCCGCGUGGACGAUGAAGGCCUUCGGGUUGUAAAGUCCUUUUAAGAGGGAAGAGGAAGGACGGUACCUCUUGAACAAGUCUCGGCUAACUACGUGCCAGCAGCCGCGGUAACACGUAGGAGGCAAGCGUUAUCCGGAUUUAUUGGGCGUAAAGCGCGCGCAGGUGGUUGUGUAAGUCGGGUGUGAAAGCCCCAGGCUCAAUCUGGGGAGGUCAUUCGAUACUGCACGGCUUGAGAGCGGGAGAGGGAAGUGGAAUUCCGGGUGUAGUGGUGAUAUGCGUAGAUAUCCGGAGGAACACCAGUGGCGAAGGCGGCUUCCUGGCCCGUUUCUGACACUAAGGCGCGAAAGCGUGGGGAGCGAACGGACUUAGAUACUCCGGUAGUCCACGCUGUAAACGAUGGGUACUAGGUGUGGGGAGUACUGACUCUCUCUGUGCCAAAGCUAACGCAUUAAGUACCCCGCCUGGGGACUACGGCCGCAAGGCUAAAACUCAAAGGAAUUGACGGGGGCCCGCACAAGCAGCGGAGCGUGUGGUUCAAUUCGAAGUUACACGAAGAACCUUACCUGGGCUUGACAUGUGGGUAGUAGUGAAGCGAAAGCGGAACGAUCCUUCGGGAAGCCUACACAGGUGCUGCAUGGCUGUCGUCAGCUCGUGCCGUGAGGUGUUGGGUUAAGUCCUGUAACGAGCGCAACCCUCGCUGCCAGUUACAAGUGUCUGGCGGGACUGCCGGUGAUAAACUGGAGGAAGGUGGGGAUGAUGUCAAGUCAGCAUGGCCUUUAUGUCCAGGGCUACACACACGCUACAAUGGUCGGUACAAUGGGUUGCCAAGCCGUGAGGCGGAGCUAAUCCUUAAAACCGGUCUCAGUUCGGAUUGCAGGCUGCAACUCGCCUGCAUGAAGUUGGAGUUGCUAGUAAACGCGCGUCAGCAAUAGUGCGUUGAAUACGUUCCCGGGCCUUGUACACACCGCCCGUCACGUCAUGGGAGUUGGUAACACCUGAAGUCGGUGGGCUAACCCGCAAGGGGGGCAGCUGUCGAAGGUGGGAUCGGCGACUGGGACGAAGUCGUAACAAGGUAGCCGUAGCGGAAGCUGCGGCUGGAUCACCUCCUUU
rnacentral:rRNA from 1 species